rnacentral:rRNA from 1 species
UACGUAGGGGGCAAGCGUUGUCCGGAUUUAUUGGGCGUAAAGAGCGUGUAGGCGGCUUGGUAGGUCCGCUGUGAAAACUCGAGGCUCAACCUCGAGAUGUCGGCGGAAACCACUUGGCUAGAGUCCGGAAGAGGAGAGUGGAAUUCCCGGUGUAGCGGUGAAAUUCGUAGAUAUUCGCAAGAACACCAGUGGCGAAGGCGGCUCACUGGCCCGGUACUGACGCUGAGGUGCGAAAGCGUGGGGAGCAAACAGG